UCUGCACUGUUGCCUGACUGAACAGUCCUGGCAAUUUUCAUCAACUCAGGGUCCUCAUGCUGUCUCUGAGCUAUCUGCUCCAGAAACACAGGUGUCACUCUCAUCUGUGCUAUCAACGCACCUGUACCAGACAACUCUAGCUGUAAUCCCUCGGCAAAGAGCUUAUAAAGCUCCAUCACAACUGGUCUCCGCUCUGCUGCUAUAUGGGAUAAACUGCCUAGUGACUUCCGGCUUAGGGCGUCUGCGACAACAUUCGCUUUACCCGG
rnacentral:lncRNA from 1 species